UUGGAGGGCAAGUCUGGUGCCAGCAGCCGCGGUAAUUCCAGCUCCAAUAGCGUAUAUUAAGGUUGUUGCAGUUAAAAAGCUCGUAGUUGAAUUUCGGGAUUAGUACGUCGGUCGUGCCUUAGGUAUGUACUGGUGUUACUGGUUCCUACCUUCUGACGAACCAUCAUGUCAUUAAUUUGGUGUGGUGGGGAAUCAGGACUGUUACUUUGAAAAAAUUAGAGUGUUUAAAGCAGGCUCGCGCUUGAAUACAUUAGCAUGGAAUAAUGAAAUAGG
rnacentral:rRNA from 1 species